AUUUUUGUUAUUGAAAAUUAUAUAUAAGGUGAUCAGAAAAAUGAAAAUGAUUAAAUUUUAGUUAUGUGUUUGAUUGGUUGGAUUAUAGAUAUAUAGUUCAUUUCACUUAAUUUUUGUUAUAAAUUUUGUUCCCAAUUAUUCUCUUAGUAAUUUAAUUGACCCUCACCUUUAAAUACACAAUCCUUUUAAAAUAUAUUUUUCUUAAAACAUCCGUUUAAAAAUUGUAAUAUCUUUCUACAUUAAAAAUUUACAACUACGUCACUAAAACCUAAAAUCUACAAACUAAAUUCUUACAACAAAAAUUAUGCAAUUACUACCCAACUAUUUAGACUCAUGAUCUAAAUAUUAAUU
rnacentral:lncRNA from 1 species